UACGUAGGGUGCGAGCGUUGUCCGGAAUUAUUGGGCGUAAAGAGCUCGUAGGCGGUGUGUCGCGUCGGCCGUGAAAACCUGGGGCUUAACUCUGGGCGUGCGGUCGAUACGGGCAUCACUGGAGUUCGGCAGGGGAGACUGGAAUUCCUGGUGUAGCGGUGAAAUGCGCAGAUAUCAGGAGGAACACCGAUGGCGAAGGCAGGUCACUGGGCCGCAACUGACGCUGAGGAGCGAAAGCAUGGGGAGCGAACAGG
rnacentral:rRNA from 1 species